rnacentral:rRNA from 1 species
CGCGUAGGCGGUUUGAUAAGCUGGGUGUGAAAGCCCGGGCUCAACCUGGGAAUUGCAUCCAGAACUGUCUGACUAGAGUAUGGUAGAGGGUAGUGGAAUUUCCUGUGUAGCGGUGAAAUGCGUAGAUAUAGGAAGGAACACCAGUGGCGAAGGCGGCUACCUGGACCAAUACUGACGCUGAGGUGCGAAAGCGUGGGGAGCAAACA